AGGGUUUGAUUAUGGCUCAGGACGAACGCUGGCGGCAUGCCUAACGCAUGCAAGUCGAACGAGAAAGUUCCUUCGGGAGCAAUUAAAGUGGCGCACGGGUGAGUAACGCGUAGACAAUCUGCCCUUCAGUCUGGGACAACUUUUCGAAAGGAGAGCUAAUACCGGAUAACAAUGCAUGACACAAGUUGUAUAUUUGAAAGCUUUAUGUGCUGAAGGAGGGGUCUGCGUCCCAUUAGCUAGUUGGUAAGGUAAAGGCUUACCAAGGCAACGAUGGGUAGCGGGUUUGAGAGGACGAUCCGCCACACUGGAACUGAGACACGGUCCAGACUCCUACGGGAGGCAGCAGUGGGGAAUAUUGCACAAUGGAGGCAACUCUGAUGCAGCAAUGUCGCGUGAGUGAAGAAGGCCCUUGAGUCGUAAAGCUCUUUUAUGGGGGAAGAUGAUGACGGUACCCCAAGAAUAAGCACCGGCUAACUAUGUGCCAGCAGCCGCGGUAAUAC
rnacentral:rRNA from 1 species